rnacentral:lncRNA from 1 species
CCGCCGCGCCGCCCGCCGCCUGCCCACGCCGUCCAAUCCCGCGCUGCCACGUGGCGAGACUUUUUUUAUUUUAAUUUUAUUUUAAUUCGGCCGAAUUAGAUAAUACACUUUUGCAGAAAUGCCCCUUUAACUUCAAAGCCUCAUAUCUUUCAAACCGUUUGUCCAAAAAUUGUGAUCCAAGUGUGGGGACUCGCUGAUUGAUGACCUGCGGGAGACGUUUGAUAACCUCCACAGGAUCAAGCUCAAGUUGAACCCUAAGAAAUGCACCUUUGGUGUGGACUCGGGUCAGCUCCUGGGUUUCUUGGUUUCGCACAGGGGGAUUCAAGCCAAUCCAAAGAAGAUAGAGGCUAUCGAGAAAAUGC